UGGUGCUCUACAAGAAAAAUCUGCUUUAUAGAUGAGGAAAGACCCUUGGGGCAGACAAGACAGUCCCUGUUUGACAUAAUUCCUUUAUCUCUUCUCCCCCAGCUCUGCUGCCCCCUGCCCCAUACACGUGAUGGAGCAGAAAACGUGCUGUGUGAACCUGUGACUUCAGGGCCUGUUGACGUGGUCGUGCUUGCAUACUCUCUGGACUGGACCUCACUGUGGGAACAACAAGAUCAACAAGAGGAGCAAGAACAACAUCAAGAGUCAGGGCCCGGGGGUCCUGACGGGUACAGGACGGGUACAGACCCACACAGGAAUCCCAGAGUGUGUUCCACAGCAGGACACGCCUGCGCUGAAAGAGUGGGCAGAAAGGAGCUGACCUGGGAUUAUGAUCCAAACUCAGCUGGGCCUCCCCUCCCUGCCCCAGGAUUGUGGAGUGAGAACGUUGCAGCAGGAGAGAAC
rnacentral:lncRNA from 10 species